UGCCAGCCGCCGCGGUAAUACGGAGGGUGCAAGCGUUAAUCGGAAUUACUGGGCGUAAAGCGCGCGUAGGUUGAUUGGUCAGUCAGAUGUGAAAGCCCCGGGCUCAACCUCGGAACUGCCUUCGAUACUGGCGAUCUUGAGUCCGGGAGAGGUGAGUGGAACUCCGAGUGUAGAGGUGAAAUUCGUAGAUAUGUGGAGGAAUACCAGUGGCGAAGACGGCCUCCUGGCUUAAUACUGACGCUGAGGUGCGAAAGCGUGGGGAGCGAACAGGAUUAGAUA
rnacentral:rRNA from 1 species